rnacentral:rRNA from 1 species
UAGAUGACGCUGGCGGCGUGCCUAAUACAUGCAAGUCGAGCGAAUGGAUUAAGAGCUUGCUCUUAUGAAGUUAGCGGCGGACGGGUGAGUAACACGUGGGUAACCUGCCCAUAAGACUGGGAUAACUCCGGGAAACCGGGGCUAAUACCGGAUAACAUUUUGAACCGCAUGGUUCGAAAUUGAAAGGCGGCUUCGGCUGUCACUUAUGGAUGGACCCGCGUCGCAUUAGCUAGUUGGUGAGGUAACGGCUCACCAAGGCAACGAUGCGUAGCCGACCUGAGAGGGUGAUCGGCCACACUGGGACUGAGACACGGCCCAGACUCCUACGGGAGGCAGCAGUAGGGAAUCUUCCGCAAUGGACGAAAGUCUGACGGAGCAACGCCGCGUGAGUGAUGAAGGCUUUCGGGUCGUAAAACUCUGUUGUUAGGGAAGAACAAGUGCUAGUUGAAUAAGCUGGCACCUUGACGGUACCUAACCAGAAAGCCACGGCUAACUACGUGCCAGCAGCCGCGGUAAUACGUAGGUGGCAAGCGUUAUCCGGAAUUAUUGGGCGUAAAGCGCGCGCAGGUGGUUUCUUAAGUCUGAUGUGAAAGCCCACGGCUCAACCGUGGAGGGUCAUUGGAAACUGGGAGACUUGAGUGCAGAAGAGGAAAGUGGAAUUCCAUGUGUAGCGGUGAAAUGCGUAGAGAUAUGGAGGAACACCAGUGGCGAAAGCGACUUUCUGGUCUGUAACUGACACUGAGGCGCGAUAGCGUGGGAAGCAAACAGGAUUAGAUACCCUUGGUAGUCCACGCCGUAACAAUGAUUGCUAUUGUUAGAAGGGUUUCCGCCCUUUUAUGCUGAAAUAAACGCAUUAACACUCCGCCUGGGGAGAUCGGACCGCAAGGCU